CCUACGGGAGGCAGCAGUGAGGAAUAUUGGUCAAUGGACGCAAGUCUGAACCAGCCAUGCCGCGUGCAGGAAGACGGCUCUAUGAGUUGUAAACUGCUUUUGUACGAGGGUAAACGCAGAUACGCGUAUCUGUCUGAAAGUAUCGUACGAAUAAGGAUCGGCUAACUCCGUGCCAGCAGCCGCGGUAAUACGGAGGAUUCAAGCGUUAUCCGGAUUUAUUGGGGUUAAAGGGUGGGUAGGCGGUCGGAUAAGUUAGAGGUGAAAUCCUGAGGCUCAAAUUCGGACGUGCCUUUGAUACUGUUCGGCUAGAGAGUAGUUGCGGUAGGCGGAAUGUAUGGUGUAGCGGUGAAAUGCUUAGAGAUCAUACAGAACACCGAUUGCGAAGGCAGCUUACCA
rnacentral:rRNA from 1 species